CCUACGGGAGGCAGCAGUGGGGAAUUUUGGACAAUGGGCGCAAGCCUGAUCCAGCAAUGCCGCGUGCAGGAUGAAGGCCUUCGGGUUGUAAACUGCUUUUGUACGGAACGAAAAGCCCUCUUCUAAUACAGGAGGGUCAUGACGGUACCGUAAGAAUAAGCACCGGCUAACUACGUGCCAGCAGCCGCGGUAAU
rnacentral:rRNA from 1 species